GCACGGAGUUGUGUAAAGGUGAAUGGGGUUUUAACAGAUUUCUUUGAAGUGGAGAGGUCAGUGAGGCAGGGAUGUCCUCUGUCUGCGUUAUUGUACGCUUUACCUGUAGAGCCACUGGCCACACUUAUCAAGAGGGACAAGGGGGUGGAAGGGAUAAAGUUACCAUAUGGGGGAAGGUGUGUGAUAAAUCACUAUGCGGAUGACACAACGAUCACGGUGAGGGAUGGAGGUAGUGUCAGGAGGGUGAUGGAGAUAGUGGAAGACUAUGGGAGAGCGUCAGGAGCGAAGAUAAACAAAGAAAAGUCAGAAAUAAUGUAUAUAGGAAAGGUUGAGAGAAUAGAGGUAGGUUUGAGGGUAGAAGAGAAGUAUAUAAAGGUAUUGGGUGUGUACCUGGGGGUGGAUAGUAAGGAGGCAAGGGAUGCGACAUGGACCGGGGUGAUCAAUAAAAUUAGAACGGUGUGCACGGCAUGGAGGGGGAGGAAGUUAAGAUUGAAAGGGAAAGUAGUGGUAGUGAAUAGUCUUAUGUUGUCAGUAUGUGUGUACGUGAUGAGUGUGGUUGAGAUGCCAGGCUGGGUGAUGAAUGAUUUAAACAAAAUUGUGUGUGAUUUUAUUUGGGAAGGAAAGGGGGUGAAAAUCGCACAGAAAACACUGGUUGGAAAGAGGCGGAAGGGUGGUUUGAAAUUGAUAGAUCUGGAAACCAAAAAAGUUGCAAUAAGAAUAAAGACUGUGCAAAAGUACAUGGUGGGAAAGUGGCAUUAUGGAUGGAAAGAUCUUUUAAAGAAAUACAUUGAUGAAGUGGGGGGAAUAGGUGAUUAUGGCUGGUACAUGGGUUUUAAGCAAACAAUGACGGUUGGGAUACCUGAGAUAUACAGGGAGGUGUUAGAGGCGUGGAGGAGGUUUCUGCCAAAAGUGCAAUAUGAUUGCGAUGGGUUGAAUAUGUUUGUCAAUUUGCCCCUGUUUUUAAAUGAAAAAUUCAAACAUAACGAGAAAACAUUAUACGAACCCAAAUUUAUAGAAGGAGGCAUUCGGCAAGUUAAAGAUCUUAUUUAUGAGGUCAUCCCAGGUUUCCUCAGGGAUAACUGCAUUUUUGAUUCAGUGUGUGAGAUAGAUGGCAUGGAGGAUAGAGUUAAGGUGAAGAAAAUUCAUGAUAGAAUUAAAAGCAGUAUACCAGGGGAAUGGGCUGGACUGAUUGAAAGUGAAUGUGUGAGUAGGCAAGAAGUACGUAUUCCUGAAUUGUAUGUGAAGGUGGAGGGAGGGAAGUGUGGUAUGGAGAGAAUGAGUGUGAAGAAAGUGUACGAUUGGUUGAUAGGGGAUGUGUUCAAAGAGCCAGCAGCAGUGAAAGUAUGGAAGAGGGUGUUUGUGAACUGGGAGGUGGAAGAUAUAUGGGCAAAUUGUAACAUUAAAUACAACAGUAUUGAGUGUGAGAAUAAUGAUUUUCUUAUUAAACAUAAUAGAAUCUACACAAAUGUAGUAUUGAAUAAAAUAAAUAAUGAGGUUAAUGUGAUUUGUGAUGUCUGUAACAGUGGUCAUGAGAGUUUUUCACACUAUUUUUUGGAUUGUGGGGAAUUGGUUGAUUUCUUUGUAUUUCUAAAAGCACUGAUUAGGGAAAGUUGGAGUGAGGAGUAUGAUUUGGAUGUUGUUUUUGUUUGGGGUAUGUGGGAAAGGGGUGCAUUUUAAUUUGUGCAAUUUUGUUUUAAGUCAUGCCAGACUCGCGGUCCUGUUGAGAAGGAACUAUGCGCACUUUGAGGGACGGAAGGUGAAUGUCAUACAACUGUUUAAAUCCAUUAUGAAGCGGGAUGUGGAUCUGAUGUGC
ensembl:lncRNA